CGAGACUCAGUGAAAUUGAACUCGCUGUGAAGAUGCAGUGUACCCGCGGCAAGACGGAAAGACCCCGUGAACCUUUACUAUAGCUUGACACUGAACAUUGAGCCUUGAUGUGUAGGAUAGGUGGGAGGCUUUGAAGUGUGGACGCCAGUCUGCAUGGAGCCGACCUUGAAAUACCACCCUUUAAUGUUUGAUGUUCUAACGUUGACCCGUAAUCCGGGUUGCGGACAGUGUCUGGUGGGUAGUUUGACUGGGGCGGUCUCCUCCUAAAGAGUAACGGAGGAGCACGAAGGUUGGCUAAUCCUGGUCGGACAUCAGGAGGUUAGUGCAAUGGCAUAAGCCAGCUUGACUGCGAGCGUGACGGCGCGAGCAGGUGCGAAAGCAGGUCAUAGUGAUCCGGUGGUUCUGAAUGGAAGGGCCAUCGCUCAACGGAUAAAAGGUACUCCGGGGAUAACAGGCUGAUACCGCCCAAGAGUUCAUAUCGACGGCGGUGUUUGGCACCUCGAUGUCGGCUCAUCACAUCCUGGGGCUGAAGUAGGUCCCAAGGGUAUGGCUGUUCGCCAUUUAAAGUGGUACGCGAGCUGGGUUUAGAACGUCGUGAGACAGUUCGGUCCCUAUCUGCCGUGGGCGCUGGAGAACUGAGGGGGGCUGCUCCUAGUACGAGAGGACCGGAGUGGACGCAUCACUGGUGUUCGGGUUGUCAUGCCAAUGGCACUGCCCGGUAGCUAAAUGCGGAAGAGAUAAGUGCUGAAAGCAUCUAAGCACGAAACUUGCCCCGAGAUGAGUUCUCCCUGACUCCUUGAGAGUCCUGAAGGAACGUUGAAGACGACGACGUUGAUAGGCCGGGUGUGUAAGCGCAGCGAUGCGUUGAGCUAACCGGUACUAAUGAACCGUGAGG
rnacentral:rRNA from 1 species